rnacentral:rRNA from 1 species
CCUACGGGAUGCAGCAGUGAGGAAUUUUGCGCAAUGGGGGCAACCCUGACGCAGCAACGCCGCGUGAGUGAAGAAGGCCUUUGGGUCGUAAAGCUCUGUCAACCGGGAAGAAGUUAUGCAGAAUGAAUAGUGAUGCAUAUUGACGGUACCGGUGGAGGAAGCGCCGGCUAACUCCGUGCCAGCAGCCGCGGUAACACGGGGGGCGCAAGCGUUAUUCGGAAUUAUUGGGCGUAAAGGGCGCGUAGGCGGUUCUGUCGGUCAGAUGUGAAAGCCCGGGGCUCAACCCUGGAAGUGCAUUUGA